rnacentral:tRNA from 1 species
GUAAAUUAGGUGUUUAGCAUAAGAAAUUUUCUUUUUUUUGGAGGCUUUUUAGCCAAUUUAUA